UAGGGAAUCUUCGGCAAUGGGGGCAACCCUGACCGAGCAACGCCGCGUGAGUGAAGAAGGUUUUCGGAUCGUAAAGCUCUGUUGUAAGAGAAGAACGUGUGUGAGAGUGGAAAGUUCACACAGUGACGGUAACUUACCAGAAAGGGACGGCUAACUACGUGCCAGCAGCCGCGGUAAUACGUAGGUCCCGAGCGUUGUCCGGAUUUAUUGGGCGUAAAGCGAGCGCAGGCGGUUUAAUAAGUCUGAAGUUAAAGGCAGUGGCUUAACCAUUGGUUGCUUUGGAAACUAUUAAACUUGAGUGCAGAAGGGGAGAGUGGAAUUCCAUGUGUAGCUGUGAAAUGCGUAGAUAUAUGGAGGAACACCGGUCGCGAAAGCGGCUCUCUGGUCUGUCACUGACGCUGAGGCUCGACAGCGUGGGGAGCAAACAGG
rnacentral:rRNA from 1 species